rnacentral:rRNA from 1 species
AGCCUAGUGAGUUUUAUACUAGGUUGCUUCUGCCCACUGAUUAGUUUAACUAACUUUAACGGCCGCAGUACUCUGACUGUGCUAAGGUAGCAUAAUAAAUUGAUUUUUAAUUGGAGUCUAGAAUGAAAGGGAUUAUGGGGGAAUACUGUCUCUAGUUCGCAUUUAUUUAAAUUUAUAUUUUAGGUGAAAAUACCUAAAAUUUUUAAUAAUAGACGAGAAGACCCUUAGAAUUUUGAAAAUAAAUAAAAAUUGUUUUAUGAAUUUUUUUGUUGGGGUGACAAAAUAACAGGUUAAAAUUAACUUAUUUUUGAUAUAUAACUUUACAAGAAAGUUUUUAACAGGAAAGAUUAAAUUACCUUAGGGAUAACAGCAUAAUCCUUUUAUGAGUUUGUGACCUCGAUGUUGGACUAGGAACCGAAUAAUAAGCAAUUAAACUGGAAAGUUCUGUUCGAACAUAUUAUCCU